AUUGAACGCUGGCGGCAUGCCUUACACAUGCAAGUCGAACGGUAACAGGUCUUUCGGGAUGCUGACGAGUGGCGAACGGGUGAGUAAUACAUCGGAACGUGCCUAGUAGUGGGGGAUAACUACUCGAAAGAGUGGCUAAUACCGCAUGAGAUCGAUGGAUGAAAGCAGGGGACCUUCGGGCCUUGUGCUACUAGAGCGGCCGAUGGCAGAUUAGGUAGUUGGUGAGAUAAAAGCUUACCAAGCCUACGAUCUGUAGCUGGUCUGAGAGGACGAUCAGCCACACUGGGACUGAGACACGGCCCAGACUCCUACGGGAGGCAGCAGUGGGGAAUUUUGGACAAUGGGCGCAAGCCUGAUCCAGCAAUGCCGCGUGCAGGAUGAAGGCCUUCGGGUUGUAAACUGCUUUUGUACGGAACGAAAAGUCUUGGGUUAAUACCCUGGGAUCAUGACGGUACCGUAAGAAUAAGCACCGGCUAACUACGUGCCAGCCGCCGCCGUAAAAC
rnacentral:rRNA from 1 species